CCUUCGUUCCCUAAGUUCUCCAAAUUGCAUGGAUUUGUCUCUUCUAUUUUUUUUUUUUCUUGGUACCGGGGAUCAAACUCAGGACCUUGCGCUUGGGAGGCAGGCGCGAUGCCACUGAGCUACAUCCCUAGUUUGCCUCUUCUUUUAUUGUUCCUAUUUGUAGGACUCAGAAUCAGUGGAUGACCUGCAGUACCUGUGGUUCCUCGCUGUCACACAGGGUUGAAGGUUUUUCCGAUCUGCAACCCAUCACAUGCUCCCCUGAGAACCACAUCCAAGUUCUGAAAGUCUUCUUCCCCUAACCCCAUGCCAACCUGAGCUAGCCACCUGCAAGAUGAGAUGCCAUGUGGGAGACAAGGAAGGUUCUUCAUUCAAUAGCCAGGCUCCUGCCAAAUGUGAAUGAGACUGAUAGGAAUCAGCCAGCCCCAGAAGACUCAUCUAUUGAUUGCACAGCCAGCAGCUGAUCAUAACAAUGUGAUCCACUGUAGCAGAGAAGUAGAAGAAUCACCCAGCUGAGCCCAACCCAGUUUACUGACUCAUACAAUUACG
rnacentral:lncRNA from 1 species